rnacentral:rRNA from 1 species
GACGAACGCUGGCGGCGUGCUUAAUACAUGCAAGUCGAGCGGUGAACCCCGACUGAAAGCCUUCGGGCUUGACGUUGGGGGAUCAGCGGCGGAUGGGUGAGUAACGCGUGGGUACCUGCCCUAAAGUCUGGGAUAACAACUCGAAAGGGUUGCUAAUACCGGAUGUGACCGAGAGGUUAAAGGCAGAGAUGUCGCUUUAGGAUGGGCCCGCGUCCCAUUAGCUAGUUGGUGAGGUAAGGGCUCACCAAGGCUGCGAUGGGUAGCCGGCCUGAGAGGGUGGACGGCCACACUGGGACUGAGACACGGCCCAGACUCCUACGGGAGGCAGCAGUAGGGAAUAUUAGUAAUGGGCGAAAGCCUGAACUAGCAACGCCGCGUGUGCGAAGAAGGCCUUCGGGUCGUAAGCACUUUUUGUAGAGGAUGAGGAAGGACGGUACGUCUCAGAAUAAGUACUCGGCUAACUACGUG